GAUCGAGAAGAUUUACAUCUUGAUCUUCUUCUUUCUCUUUCUUCGUCUUCUUUCUUCUCUUUUUUUUCUUCUGCUGAGAGUCGGUAAGAAUCAAUCGAGAGAAUCAGUUGAGUAUUCUGUGUGUUUGAUGAAGGUAGAUGGUGUUGUUAAUGGUUUGGCGAUAAAAGAAGAAGAUGAUAAUUAUGUGAAUCAGAGACAAGGUAAGAAUUAGGGUUUUUCAGAAGACUGUGUAGAAGUUCGAUUAGAAGAUGAAAUUAAUGUUUUAAGAAGGGGUUGUUGUUGAAUCAAGUUUCUGAAGUUGUUUUGAUAAUGAACCGAAGAAGUUAGGGUUAGGGUUUCUUAAACAGUAACUCAGAGAAGUUUUAAAGAUGGAAUUGAUGUUCUACAAAAUGGGAUUUAAGAUGGGUAUUGAUCAAUUGAUUGAUUUUAUCUUAUGGAUGAAGAGUAAAUAGAGAUUGAAGACGGUUAGGUUCAUGUGUUCUUCCCCAAAUUGAAAUUAGGGUUUCAGUAGAAUUGAUCUGGUAAUUUGGAAAUUCAUAAGAUGUUAAAGCUUGGAUGUUGUGGUAUAUUGAACUACAUGGAACAUGAAGUGGAUGUUACUGCUGAGGUUGUAUUGAUUGAAGUUCUUUUGAAUGAUCCUUUGUGGAACUGAGGAGGUAAUCUGGUGUUGGAGGAAAGCGGUGAACUGAGUACGAAUUAUAAUGGAGUGUACAAGAAUCUGAGAUUGAUUGUAGCAUGUGCGUCAGUAUGCAGUAGUGGCUUUGCAGGCCUGUAGGUUGUGUUACUACAAUCUGGUGAAGUGGUGGUGGUAUGUUGAUGGAUACAAGGAAUGGGAGAAGCUGAGUAUAUCUGAAUUGUACUGCAGAUUUAUGGGGUUGAUGUGAACUGCAGGGCAUGGGAUUGGUGUCAAUGCUGUGAGAGUGUAGUUUUAGGGUAAAAAGGGGAUCAUGGUGGUGACUCAUAAAAGAAGUGGAACUGCAGAUGUAAUCAGAUGAUGGUAAUAGAACUGUGAUUGCAGAUUAGGAUUGUGUUGUGAAAAUGAUUUGUAAAAUUGUUGUAUUUACAGUAAUUUAUGGAGUGAAUGGUUUCUGAAGUUUCAGUUCAUGAAGAAUGGUGAAUUCAGAGUUGUCGAUUGUAUUUGCUGUGAAAGCUUGAUGCUACUGCAAUUGCAGGUAGAUAUAGUCUUUGUUUGUAAAUAGAAUUUAAAGUUUGUUUACUUUAUUUUGAAUUGAUGUUGAAAUAUAAAAUUGGUAGA